GGUUCAAUAGUGUAGUGGUUAUCACAUUUGUCUUACACACAAAAGGUCUCCGGUUCGAACCCGGGUUGAACCA